GACAUUUGCUGAUGGUCAUUCCUGGGGUUUUGCAGAGGGGAGGGGAGCCCACCUCGGAUGCCCACCGUGAAGUCCGGAAGUCUGCCCGGUGCCAUGUCACGUGCUGCCAGUCCGAGGAAGGCGGACGGGUCAGGAGGCACUUUGGUGGGCUGCAUCCGACCCUCAAACGGGGCGAGGAAAUGGAGGGCCGCCGCCGCCGGCGCACUCUGAGUCUCCUAAGUGGAACGGUGACAUUUUCUGGGUUCUAAUGGGAGGAGCGCGGAGAAACACCAGCCGUGCUCUCGGCCGGGCACGGAUCGGACCCAACCCGCGCUCAUUUCUGCACCUGCAGCACACUAGUCGCUGAGAUUCUGAAGACCGACAGAGAGUGGCCGCUCAUCCAGUGACCCGUAAAACGUGCGAUCCCGCCGCAGUGAGGUCGGUUCCGGUCAAUGCGAAAUAAUCCUC